CUGGGCUUGACAUGCACGGGAAAGCCGGUGGAAACAUCGGCCCCUCUUCGGAGUCCGUGCACAGGUGCUGCAUGGCUGUCGUCAGCUCGUGUCGUGAGAUGUUGGGUUAAGUCCCGCAACGAGCGCAACCCUUGUCCCUAGUUACCAGCGGGUCAUGCCGGGCACUCUAGGGAGACUGCCGGUGUCAAACCGGAGGAAGGUAGGGACGACGUCAAGUCAUCAUGGCCCUUACGUCCAGGGCGACACACGUGCUACAAUGGCCGGUACAGAGCGUCGCAAGCUCGCAAGAGUGAGCUAAUCGCCAAAAGCCGGUCUAAGUUCGGAUUGUGGGCUGCAACCCGCCCACAUGAAGCUGGAAUCGCUAGUAAUCGUGGAUCAGCCAUGCCACGGUGAAUACGUUCCC
rnacentral:rRNA from 1 species